AGUCAAGGUGAAAGCAGAAUAAUCCAGGAGACGGAGCGGGCAGCGGAGGUGAGUUGGUGAGAGUGAAUAGGCCGAUCCAAUGAUGUGACAGAAGCCACCGACGACCAGGCAAGGGGGUGAAUGUUCCGGGAGAAUGACUGUAGACAGAGUAAACGAAGGUGAGUAACCGGUAAAAAGUACAGAACAACAAAACUAACUCUGGUAACAUGAGGCUGAUACGCUGACACAACAUACUGUUCAUUGCUAACGAUCCGGCAGGGAAUGGAUGUCAGGUCAGAGCUUAAGAAGAGAAGAGGUGAUGAUCAGGACCAGGUGUGCAGAUGGCUGAUGAGAUGCAGGUGCGGGUAAUUGAGCGAUCUCCCGCCUAGCUUCGUCGCCCGGCAACCAGACAGGGUGUGUUCAGAAAACUCAGGAAACAACUCCAAAACAGAAAACAGGCAGCUCAGGCAGAACACAGAAUCAGGAAGCAGGAUUCAUGACAGUUAGUUAUGUAGGCUAUAUCCAGUGAGUUAUGUAGGCUAUAUUCAGCUGGUUAUGUAGGCUAUAUUCAGUUAGUUAUGUAGGCUAUAUUCAGCUGGUUAUGUAGGCUAUAUUCAGUUAGUUAUGUAGGCUAUAUUCAGUUAGUUAUGUAGGCUAUAUUCAGUUAGUUCUGUAGACUAUAUUCAGUUAGUUAUGUAGGCUAUAUUCAGUUAGUUAUGUAGGCUAUAUCCAGUUAGUUAUGUAGGCUAUAUCCAGUGAGUUAUGUAGGCUAUAUUCAGCUGGUUAUGUAGGCUAUGUUCAGUUAGUUAUGUAGGCUAUAUUCAGUUAGUUAUGUAGGCUAUAUUCAGUUAGUUCUGUAGGCUAUAUCCAGUGAGUUAUGUAGGCUAUAUCCAGUGAGUUAUGUAGGCUAUAUUCAGCUGGUUAUGUAGGCUAUGUUCAGUUAGUUAUGUAGGCUAUAUUCAGCUGGUUAUGUAGGCUAUGUUCAGUUAGUUAUGUAGGCUAUAUUCAGCUGGUUAUGUAGGCUAUGUUCAGUUAGUUCUGUAGGCUAUAUUCAGUUAGUUAUGUAGGCUAUGUUCAGUUAGUUAUGUAGACUGUAUUCAGUUAGUUCUGUAGACUAUAUUCAGUUAGUUCUGUAGGCUAUAUUCAGUUAGUUCUGUAGGCUAUAUUCAGUUAGUUCUGUAGGCUAUAUUCAGUUAGUUCUGUAGGAUAUAUCCAGCAAGUUAUGUAGGCUAUAUUCAGUUAGUUAUGUAGGCUAUAUUCAGUUAGUUCUGUAUGCUAUAUUCA
rnacentral:lncRNA from 1 species